rnacentral:sRNA from 1 species
GCCGGGAAUGGUGGCCAUGCCUGUAAUCCCAGCUCAGGAGGCCGAGCCAGGAGAAUUGUGAGUUCAAAGUCAGCCUCAGCAAAGGUGAGAUGCCAAACAACUCAGUGAGACCCUGUCUCUA